UACAGAGGUGGCAAGCGUUGUUCGGAAUUACUGGGCGUAAAGGGCGCGUAGGCGGUCUUGUAAGUCUUGUGUGAAAUCCCUCGGCUUAACUGAGGAACUGCACGGGAUACUGCGAGACUUGAGAUCGGGAGAGGGAAGCGGAAUUCCGGGUGUAGCGGUGAAAUGCGUAGAUAUCAAGAGGAACACCUGCGGCGAAGGCGGGUUGCUGGGCCGAACACGUGACGCUGGAGGCGCGAAAGCCAGGGGAGCGAACAGG
rnacentral:rRNA from 1 species